rnacentral:rRNA from 1 species
UGGGGAAUAUUGGACAAUGGGCGAAAGCCUGAUCCAGCAAUGCCGCGUGUGUGAAGAAGGCCUUCGGGUUGUAAAGCACUUUCGGUAGGGAGGAUGUUAAUCAUAUCUAAUACAUAUGAUUGAUGACGUUACCUACAGAAGAAGCACCGGCUAACUCUGUGCCAGCAGCCGCGGUAAUACAGAGGGUGCAAGCGUUAAUCGGAAUUACUGGGCGUAAAGGGUGAGUAGGUGGUACUAUAAGUUACAUGUGAAAUUUCUGAGCUUAACUUGGACAGUGCAUGUAAUACUAUAGUUCUAGAGUACUGUAGAGGGUGAUGGAAUUUCCGGUGUAGCGGUGAAAUGCGUAGAUAUCGGAAGGAACACCAGUGGCGAAGGCGAUCACCUGGACAGAUACUGACACUAAUACACGAAAGCGUGGGGAGCAAACA